rnacentral:sRNA from 1 species
CUGACAGCCCUGGAUACGGAAGUCCUGUUUAUCCAUAGAACAGGUAAAGCAUGGACAGUGGCAAUGUAAGCUUCUGAAUGCUGUAUCACUAUUACUUGGUAUUUGUAUUGCAAUUGGGAUUAGUCUCUCAUGUUAAGUUCUGUACAAACAUAUGGAGACACAGUCCAUACCCUGAAGUAUUUCAAUGUAUAUAGACA